rnacentral:rRNA from 1 species
CGCUGAACUUAAGCAUAUCAAUAAGCGGAGGAAAAGAAAAUAACAAUGAUUCCCCUAGUAACUGC